GAUAAACGCUAGCGGCAGGCUUAACACAUGCAAGUCGAGGGGCAGCAUAGAUUGUAGCAAUACAAUUGGUGGCGACCGGCGCACGGGUGCGUAACGCGUAUGCAACCUACCCGUCACAGGGGGAUAAUCCGGAGAAAUCUGGUCUAAUACCCCAUAACAUAUGGAUCGGCAUCGGUUCAUGUUGAAAUUUUCGGAGGUGACGGAUGGGCAUGCGUAGCAUUAGCUUGUUGGUGAGGUAACGGCUCACCAAGGCGACGAUGCUUAGGGGGACUGAGAGGUUUUCCCCCCACACUGGUACUGAGACACGGACCAGACUCCUACUGGAGGCAGCAGUGAGGAAUAUUGGUCAAUGGGCGCAAGCCUGAACCAGCCAUGCCGCGUGCAGGAUGACGGCUCUAUGAGUUAUAAACUGCUUUUGUACGAGGGUAAAGUGGGUUACGUGUAACCUUUUGAAAGUAUCGUACGAAUAAGGAUCGGCUAACUCCGUGCCAGCCGCCGCGGUAA
rnacentral:rRNA from 1 species